rnacentral:rRNA from 1 species
AGAGUUUGAUCAUGGCUCAGGAUGAACGCUGGCGGCGUGCUUAACUCAUGCAAGUCGAGCGAAGCGCUUUACUUGGAUUUCUUCGGAAUGACGAGUAUUGUGACUGAGCGGCGGACGGGUGAGUAACGCGUGGGUAACCUGCCUCAUACAGGGGGAUAACAGUUAGAAAUGACUGCUAAUACCGCAUAAGACCACAGCACCGCAUGGUGCAGAGGUAAAAACUCCGGUGGUAUGAGAUGGACCCGCGUCUGAUUAGCUGGUUGGUGGGGUAACGGCCUACCAAGGCGACGAUCAGUAGCCGGCCUGAGAGGGCGACCGGCCACAUUGGGACUGAGACACGGCCCAAACUCCUACGGGAGGCAGCAGUGGGGAAUAUUGCACGAUGGGGGAAACCCUGAUGCAGCGACGCCGCGUGAAGGAAGAAGUAUUUCGGUAUGUAAACUUCUAUCAGCAGGGAAGAAAAUGACGGUACCUGACUAAGAAGCCCCGGCUAACUACGUGCCAGCAGCCGCGGUAAUACGUAGGGGGCAAGCGUUAUCCGGAUUUACUGGGUGUAAAGGGAGCGUAGACGGAGAGGCAAGUCUGAUGUGAAAACCCGGGGCUCAACCCCGGGACUGCAUUGGAAACUGUUUUUCCUAGAGUGUCGGAGAGGUAAGCGGAAUUCCUAGUGUAGCGGUGAAAUGCGUAGAUAUUAGGAGGAACACCAGUGGCGAAGGCGGCUUACUGGACGAUGACUGACGUUGAGGCUCGAAAGCGUGGGGAGCAAACAGGAUUAGAUACCCUGGUAGUCCACGCCGUAAACGAUGACUACUAGGUGUCGGGUGGCAAAGCCAUUCGGUGCCGCAGC